GGAGGGUGCAAGCGUUAUCCGGAUUCACUGGGUUUAAAGGGUGCGUAGGUGGGUUGGUAAGUCAGUGGUGAAAUCCCCGAGCUUAACUUGGGAACUGCCAUUGAUACUAUCAGUCUUGAAUAUUGUGGAGGUUAGCGGAAUAUGUCAUGUAGCGGUGAAAUGCUUAGAUAUGACAUAGAACACCAAUUGCGAAGGCAGCUGGCUACGCAUAUAUUGACACUGAGGCACGAAAGCGUGGGGAUCAAACAGGAUUAGAUACCCUGGUAGUCCACGCCCUAAACUAUGGAUACUCGACAUCAGCGAUACACUGUUGGUGUCUGAGCGAAAGCAUUAAGUAUCCCACCUGGGAAGUACGAUCGCAAGAUUG
rnacentral:rRNA from 1 species